rnacentral:lncRNA from 1 species
UUUCAUGUUAAAAAGUUUUGAUCUUUUCAGAGUUAAAAUAUUUAUCCUUCCAUGCCCAGUAAUUCAUGCUUAAAAUCUUUUCAUCAACUUACAAACUGAACAUAGGGGAAUCCUAACUCAUAAUAAAGUAAACAUUUUGUAGAUGGUUUUGAUUAGUAUGGAUUAGAGAGAAAUGGAGGGAGGAAGAAUUGAAAGAGUAAGGGUCAAUAUUGAGUGUUUUUCAAGAUGUUUGAUUUAUAGGGAGAGAAUGAGGGUGAGGGUCAUUAUUGAGUGUUUAUAAAUAUGUAUGUUCUAAAGGGAGAAAUAGGAAGAAUUGAGGGGUGAAGGUAUACAUGGACUGUUUUGAAGAUUUUUGAUCUGUACGGAGAAAAGGGAAAAAUUGAGAGAAUGAGGGAAAAACAUUGAAAGUAGUAUGUAAAGAAGCAAGUUAUGAGAGCGAGUGAAAGAGUGAGAGAAUGUUUAAUUUCUUUGUAAGGGCUUGAUGAACUGGUCUAAUGGAAGUGCAGUUUUCUCUUUUCGUUCGAGUAGUUUCUAUGUUUUCUUCAGAAAUUUGAUAACAUUUUAAUUUCC